AUCAGAUGAAGUAUGGCAGCUGUGAGGGAGUGCAGGAGCAAACAGUCAAUUAAGAAGUAAUCCUGUUCAGGUGCAGUGCAGAAAAGGGCCUGCAAAGCAGUGCAUCAGGGAAUUCCCCUCCCCACUCCACUGUCCUGAGGGGGGAGCAGUGGCACCACAGGAGGCAGCAGCAGCAGCAGCAGCAGCAGCAGCAGCAGCAGCAGCAGCAGCAGCAGCUAUCCAGGGCAGCCACCUAAAGUGUGUUUCAGCAUGCCUUCUGCAGCAUCUCAAACUGCACCAGGCAUUUGCUUGAUCAACUGGAUGUGGUCUAUAUGAUUGUCCAUUGCCAAGUCUUGUGCCCAUGCUCAGCUCUGAGGGACAUGGAGCUUCGGAAGCUGAUACAGCUCUUCAGGCUGUUUCAGCUGUAGCCACUUUUUCUUCAGACUUUGCAGAAGAAUGAUCUACAUUAGAAACCUUGUCCAUCUCAACCAUCCACUUGAUUUAAUAAAAGAUA